rnacentral:rRNA from 1 species
CCUGAAAUAUAAAUCAGUCAAAACUUUCAACAAUGGAUCUCUUGGUUCCGGCAUCGAUGAAGAACGCAGCGAACUGCGAUAAGUAAUGUGAAUUGCAGAAUUCAGUGAAUCAUCGAGUCUUUGAACGCACAUUGCGCCCCCUGGCAUUCCGGGGGGCAUGCCUGUCCGAGCGUCAUU